rnacentral:rRNA from 1 species
GACGAACCGUGCGAACGUUGUUCGGAAUCACUGGGCUUAAAGCGUGCGUAGGCGGUCAUUAAAGUCAAGGGUGAAAUCCCCCAGCUCAACUGGGGAACUGCCUUUGAUACUGAAUGCCUCGAGUAAGGUAGGGGCAUGCGGAACUGAUGGUGGAGCGGUGAAAUGCAUAGAUACCAUCAAGAACACCGAUUGCGAAGGCAGCUUACUAAGCUGUAACUGACGCUGAUGCACGAAAGCGUGGGGAGCGAACAGG